rnacentral:rRNA from 1 species
UACGUAGGGUGCGAGCGUUGUCCGGAAUUACUGGGCGUAAAGAGCUCGUAGGUGGUUUGUCGCGUUGUCCGUGAAAACUCACAGCUCAACUGUGGGCGUGCGGGCGAUACGGGCAGACUGGAGUACUGCAGGGGAGACUGGAAUUCCUGGUGUAGCGGUGGAAUGCGCAGAUAUCAGGAGGAACACCGGUGGCGAAGGCGGGGCGCUGGGCAGUAACUGACGCUGAGGAGCGAAAGCGUGGGGAGCGAACAGG